rnacentral:lncRNA from 1 species
AGAAGGCCUGAUUCACUUAGAGCGCUGGUUAUGUGUGAACCGCCCGACCCAUAGCCGCAGUUUCCGCGGAUCAGGACGGAAGUGAGCUCUGCACAGCGGAACCAGCUUCCCGGAAGUCUUUUGGCCAGCCGGAGAGACGCAUGCGUGCUGGUGGCCAGAAGAAAGCGUGGGCGUGUUCAAAGCUGCGGGCGGUGGUUGUGGCGUUAGAACUGCGGCGGGCAGCUAUGGGGAGGCCCUCCCAGUUCCCUGCUCCAGCUCAGCUGGUCUCCGCCUCCCGAUCUCAGCCCCGACCUCUCCUCUGCGGCAACGUCAGCACAGCGGCUUGCCAAGAUUGCGUCUGAGCGUACCCCAAGAUCCCUCAAGUAGAGGUCCGCCUUGUUCGGUGACACCGUGGAGACCACGGCGCCGGCAGACAAUGCAAAAAGUUGAGGCUUUGGAGGCAAGCGUGUCUUUGUGAACGUUUCAUCUUUUCCUACCAUCUGUGGUUGCUUCAAGUAUUAUUCCAAACGAGCUGGGCAUUCUUUAAAUAAUUGAAAAAUAUAUUUGAAAUAUGUGUAUUUCUGUGGAGAGCUACUAAUCUCGUACACGGUUGCCAUGGAACCCAGUGAGCUCUCAAUAGGCUAAUUGUAACAGACUACAAACAAAUUACGAGCAUCGUAAAACCCGUUGACUCUUGGAGUUUCCAGGUGUCUUUGAAGAGUGUAGAAGCCAUUUGAGCAGCACUUAGGUUUAAAAUUGGGAUUUGGACCUUUAAUGGGAAGACGCCAAACUGGUGUUAACACGCUUGAGGCAUCAUGCCUGUCUUAGUGUAAUUUUUUUGUUGUUUUAAAAUACUUCUGUGCAUUUGUGAAUUUGGACAAACUCAAAGUAAAGGAAAAUCAUCCCCCAAGUGGAUAAUUCCACGUUGAACCAGCCCGAACAUGUUGGCUUAUUUUUAGCCCUUUCCUAUGUGAAAUAUUAAAUUUCACACUUGUGUACACAGUGUCAUCGCUUGCUCUUUUUCACAUAGCAGUUUUUGCUUCAUUCUGGUUUGCCAAGCAUCUUCUAACUAGAUUGUUGUCCUUGUUACUAGGUAUCUAGAUUGUAUCAGCUUUGCAGCAGUAUUAACUAUAAAGAGAAACACCUAGAACAAUGUUCUAAAAGUAAGGGCUGGCUGGUGAGGUGGCUCAAGUGGGAAAAGAUGCCUGUCAAGAGACCUGAGGGCCCAGCAGUGGUGUGGCACACACCUUUAAUCCCAGCGCUUGGGAGGCAGAGGCAGGCGGAUUUCUGAGUUCGAGGCCAGCCUGGUCUACAGAGUGAGUUCCAGGACAGCCAGGGCUACGCAGAAAAACCCUGUCUCAAAAAACAAACAACAAUAAAAAAAAGAGACCCGAGGAGCUAGGUUCAAUACCCAGACCCCCUCAUCGAUUGUCUUCUGACCUCUGUUCAUGAACACACAAAAUAGAUGUAAUAAAAAUGCACUUACAUGAACAUAGGAUUUAUGUCAGCAAGGGGUUUCACUGUUUGCUGUGCAACCAAGAACAAUUAAAAUUUUUUCCUAGUUUUACCACCCAAUAAAUUGGGGAUAAUAGUUCUCAUUGUAUAAACACAAUAAAUUAAGCAAUGAGCAAAAUGGCCUAUAUGAGUAAAUGGUAGUUUUUGUGAUGGUUUGUAUAUGCUCUGCCCAGGGAGUGGAACAAUUAGAAGGUGUGGCCUUGUUGGAGUAGGUAUGUCAUUGUGGGUGUGGGCUAUAAGACUCUCAUCCUAGCUACCUGAAAGCCAGUAUUCUGAUAGCAGCUUUCAGAUGAAGAUGUAGAACUCUCAGCUGCCCCUGCACCAAGCCUGCCUGGAUGCUGCCAUGUUCCCACCUUGAUAAUGGACUGAACCUGUAAGCCAGCCCCAGUUAAAUGUUGUCUUUAUGAGAAGAGUUCUUGGUCAUGGUGUCUGUGCACAGCACACCCUAACUACGGCUGGGCGGUGGUGUGGCACACACCUUUAAUCCCAGCACUUGGGAAGCAGAGGCAGGUGGAUUUCUGAGUUCAAGGCCAGCCUGGUCUACAAAGUGAGUUCCAGGACAGCCAGGGCUAUAUAGAGAAACUCUGUCUCGAAAAACC